AAGUCGUAACAAGGUUCCCGUAGGUGAACGGGAAGAUCAUUACAAAUCUUGAGUUGGUGUGGGGCUGACACAUUAGCACAAGGCCGCAAGGUCUUGAUGUUUACGCUUGUAUGUUUGACAAAGUUAAAUUGUGACCUUAAAAAUGACAACUUUUAACAACGGAUCUCUUGGCUCUU
rnacentral:misc_RNA from 1 species